rnacentral:rRNA from 1 species
CCUACGGGUGGCUGCAGUGAGGAAUAUUGGUCAAUGGACGAGAGUCUGAACCAGCCAAGUAGCGUGAAGGAUGACUGCCCUAUGGGUUGUAAACUUCUUUUAUACAGGAAUAACACGCGUCACGUGUGCCUUUUUGCAUGUACUUUAUGAAUAAGGAUCGGCUAAUUCCGUGCCAGCAGCCGCGGUAAUACGGAGGGUCCGAGCGUUAUCCGGAUUUAUUGGGUUUAAAGGGAGCGUAGAUGGGAUGUUAAGUCAGUUGUGAAAGGUUGCGGCUCAACCGGAAAAUUGCAAUUGAUACUGGCAGUCUUGAGUACAGGGGAGGUAGGCGGAAUUCGUGGUGUAGCGGUGAAAUGCUUAGAUAUGACGAAGAACCCCGAUUGCGAAGGCAGCUUACUAAAGUGGGACUGACAUUGAUGCUCGAAAGUGUGGGUAUCAAACAGGAUUAGAUACCCUUGUAGUC